rnacentral:tRNA from 1 species
GGGGUUGUGGCUCAGAGUAGAGCACUUGCCUGGCAUGCAUAAGGCAUUGGUUUCAAUCCUCAGCACCA